rnacentral:rRNA from 1 species
AUUGAACGCUGGCGGCAUGCUUACACAUGCAAGUCAGACGGCAGCACAGAGAAGCUUGCUUCUUGGGUGGCGAGUGGCGAACGGGUGAGUAACAUAUCGGAACGUACCGAGCAGUGGGGGAUAACUAAUCGAAAGAUUAGCUAAUACCGCAUAUAUUCUGAGGAAGAAAGCAGGGGACCAUUUGGCCUUGCGCUGUUUGAGCGGCCGAUAUCUGAUUAGCUAGUUGGUGGGGUAAAGGCCUACCAAGGCGACGAUCAGUAGCGGGUCUGAGAGGAUGAUCCGCCACACUGGGACUGAGACACGGCCCAGACUCCUACGGGAGGCAGCAGUGGGGAAUUUUGGACAAUGGGCGCAAGCCUGAUCCAGCCAUGCCGCGUGUCUGAAGAAGGCCUUCGGGUUGUAAAGGACUUUUGUCAGGGAAGAAAAGGGCGGGGUUAAUACCCCUGUCUGAUGACGGUACCUGAAGAAUAAGCACCGGCUAACUACGUGCCAGCAGCCGCGGUAAUACGUAGGGUGCGAGCGUUAAUCGGAAUUACUGGGCGUAAAGCGGGCGCAGACGGUUACUUAAGCAGGAUGUGAAAUCCCCGGGCUCAACCUGGGAACUGCGUUCUGAACUGGGUGACUAGAGUGUGUCAGAGGGAGGUAGAAUUCCACGUGUAGCAGUGAAAUGCGUAGAGAUGUGGAGGAAUACCGAUGGCGAAGGCAGCCUCCUGGGAUAACACUGACGUUCAUGCCCGAAAGCGUGGGUAGCAAACAGGAUUAGAUACCCUGGU